CCAUCUCAAUGGGCCCCCAUUGAUUGUUGUUUUUAGAUUGGUAAGUUAGUCUAACCAAUCUCAAUGGACCCACAUUGACUUUGUUGUUUUUAGAUUGGUAUGUUAGUCUAACCAUCUCAAUGGGCCCCCAUUGAUUUUGUUGUUUUUAGAUUGGUAAGUUAGUCUAACCAUCUCAAUGGGCCCCCAUUGAUUUUGUGUUUUAGAUGGUAAGUUAGUCUAAACAUCUCAAUGGACCCCCAUUGAUUUGUUGUUUUUAGAUUGGGUAAGUUGUCUAACCAUCUCAAUGGACCCCCAUUGACUUUUGUGUUUUUAGAUUGGUAAGUUAGUCUAACACUCUCAAUGGACCCCAUUGAUUUGUUGUUUUUUUGAUUGUGUAAGUUAGUCUAACCAUUUCAAUGGGCC
rnacentral:lncRNA from 1 species